rnacentral:rRNA from 1 species
CAGGAUGAACGCUGGCGGCGUGCCUAAUACAUGCAAGUCGAGCGAACGGACGAGAAGCUUGCUUCUCUGAUGUUAGCGGCGGACGGGUGAGUAACACGUGGAUAACCUACCUAUAAGACUGGGAUAACUUCGGGAAACCGGAGCUAAUACCGGAUAAUAUUUUGAACCGCAUGGUUCAAAAGUGAAAGACGGUCUUGCUGUCACUUAUAGAUGGAUCCGCGCUGCAUUAGCUAGUUGGUAAGGUAACGGCUUACCAAGGCAACGAUGCAUAGCCGACCUGAGAGGGUGAUCGGCCACACUGGAACUGAGACACGGUCCAGACUCCUACGGGAGGCAGCAGUAGGGAAUCUUCCGCAAUGGGCGAAAGCCUGACGGAGCAACGCCGCGUGAGUGAUGAAGGUCUUCGGAUCGUAAAACUCUGUUAUUAGGGAAGAACAUAUGUGUAAGUAACUGUGCACAUCUUGACGGUACCUAAUCAGAAAGCCACGGCUAACUACGUG